rnacentral:tRNA from 1 species
AGCGCAGGUCAAAUCGUAUUCCCCUUUCACUCGUAAUGAAAAGGUCGCGAGUUCGAUUCUCGCAAGCGGCUCCA